rnacentral:misc_RNA from 1 species
AUAAUUUGCCGAACCUAGCGUUAGCGCGAGGUUCUGCGAUCAACUUAUAUUUAAAACCCAACUCUUAAAUGUUAUAAUUAUGUAUUUUUUAAAUGAUAAAAAAUUAAAAGA